rnacentral:rRNA from 1 species
GACGGAAGGUGCAAGCGUUGCUCGGAAUCACUGGGCGUAAAGGGUGCGUAGGCGGCCGUGCAAGUCGGGUGUGAAAGCCCCGGGCUCAACCUGGGAAUUGCAUUCGAGACUGAAUAGCUAGGGUACGGUAGAGGGAAGCGGAAUUUCCGGUGUAGCGGUGAAAUGCGUAGAUAUCGGAAGGAACACCAGUGGCGAAGGCGGCUCACUGGCUCGACACUGACGCUGAGGUGCGAAAGCGUGGGGAGCAAACAGG